GACGAACGCUGGCGGCGUGCUUAACACAUGCAAGUCGAACGAAGUGGCGAACGGGUGAGUAACGCGUAAUCAACCUGCCCUUCAGAGGGGGACAACAGUUGGAAACGACUGCUAAUACCGCAUACUGAAGGAGGGGCUUGCGUCUGAUUAGCUAGUUGGAGGGGGAACGGCCCACCUAGGCGAUGAUCAGUAGCCGGUCUGAGAGUAUGAACGGCCACAGUGGUACUGAGACACGGCCCAGAUUCCUACGGGAGGCAGCAGGGGGGAAUUGUCCGCAUGGGACGAAAGUCUGACGGAGCAACGCGGCGUGAGUGAUGACGGCCUUCGGGUUGUAAAGCUCUGUUAAUCGGGACGCGGUACCGGAAUAGAAAGCCACGGCUAACUACGUGCCAGCCGCCGCGGUAAUUC
rnacentral:rRNA from 1 species